GUGAGCAGCCUCAGUGCGCGUCGCGUUAGAUCUCUAGCUGUAAGUUACACAUCAAGUGGAAAAAAAAACGUGUAGUAGUUUUUCUUAUACUGUGUUUAGUCUCCUUAGGUACAAAAAGAAACGAUUCGGUGUAUAGUAGUGCUAAAUAUAGGGUCCAAAAAGUGCAAUAAGUGGGUAGCUCCAAAUAUAGUCAAACCGCUCCCAACGGUCACUACUACCGAAUAAUAUAAUCUAGAAGAAAAAGGUCCACGAACGGGCCUUUUUCUUUGUCUUCGACAGCCAUCUUGACGGGGCGCAACCUAUUGUGUUUGUUAAUCAAAAGGAACACAGGAAACGUGGGAGCACGUCGUUAUAGCGGGCACGAUCGUCGGUCAUUAGUCGGCUCCAAUGGCCUGUCCACUCUUCUAGAGGCUAUCACCAAUCAACAGAGGACUUCCGUAGUGUGUAGCCGGACCCCCACCGGGACAAGAUCCACUCCCGUGGUCCAUAGUCAGACUCCUGUGGCGAGGUUUCGUUCCCGUGGUCCGCUGCCAGAUCCCCGUGACCAAGUUGCGUCCCCUUGACCAGAAAGCUAGCUCGACUUCCGCGGCCGGUCAUAAACCAACGCUUGUAAACCAAGGUCAUCCGUUCGGCCCACAGCCGUCCCCUUGGCCAGAAAAUCAGCUCGACUUCCGUGGCCCACGCCGGCUCCACAACGCUUGUGAACCAACGUCAUUCGUCCGGCCCUCCGCCGUCAUCUUACCAACCAAAACCCAGGUCGACACUCGUGGCCCACGCCGCGUGACAACGUUCGCGCACCAUCUCCCUGCGGUAGGCCAAGAGCGUCACCGGCCGAUAGCCGCUGGAUUAUUUGACCCAUCAUCGACAUCAGCACCACCCACAAUGACCCAUAACCACCAUCAUAACAAACCGCAAGUAGCAUGUGACGUCACAAUAGGUUAAGCAAAAAUGUACCAAAAUUAUGUCUCGUACCCUAUAAUUGUAUAAUAUAAUACUAGUUAAUAUGCAAUUCAACUCUGGCAUGGAAACUUUUCAUAGUGUUUGAAAGCUUACUACUGUUUAUAAAUUUGGUAACGUAUUUCGGACCCAAGUGUGGUCUCCAUACCUCCCUCCCUUAGCGGUUCGUUUUGAACUAGGUUUAACCCUGUGGCUUUUGAGCGGAUUCAACCAUUUGGCAAAUACCGAUAGUUUUCGGUCACCUAGCUUUGUUCAUGUGAUCACCCUAAUUGUCGUGAGUUCUGUUGGCAGCCUUCCAGGAGUGGAAGUGGUGACUCGAUUACGUUUAGU